rnacentral:sRNA from 16 species
GUCAACAACCCCGUCCUAAACGACGGGGCUUGCAAGGAGAAAUCCAAACAAGCCCAAUGUUGACCAGACCAAGCGGUAACCAUCCCGCUACGUUGCGUAGAAGUUAAAGACCCACCCUGGAAUGCUUCCUCAGUUCCAGGCUCUGGA